GACGAACGCUGGCGGCGUGCUUAGCACAUGCAAGUCGAACGGAAAGGCCCUGCUUUUGUGGGGUGCUCGAGUGGCGAACGGGUGAGUAACACGUGAGUAACCUGCCCUUGACUUUGGGAUAACUUCAGGAAACUGGGGCUAAUACCGGAUAGGAGCUCCUGCUGCAUGGUGGGGGUUGGAAAGUUUCGGCGGUUGGGGAUGGACUCGCGGCUUAUCAGCUUGUUGGUGGGGUAGUGGCUUACCAAGGCUUUGACGGGUAGCCGGCCUGAGAGGGUGACCGGCGACAAUGGGACUGAGAGACGGCCCAGACGCCUACGGGAGGCAGCAGUGGGGAAUAUUGCACAAUGGGCGGAAGCCUGAUGCAGCAACGCCGCGUGCGGGAUGACGGCCUUCGGGUUGUAAACCGCUUUCGCCUGUGACGAAGCGUGAGUGACGGUAAUGGGUAAAGAAGCACCGGCUAACUACGUG
rnacentral:rRNA from 1 species